UAUAUGUAUUUAAACACAUUAUUAAUUAUUUGUGGAAGUAUUAAUUUUUCUACAGUCUAUAGUUUUGAAGAGGCGAGGCCCUCAGGCUCCCCUUCUGGAUCCAUCAUUAGUAGUAUAUAUACACCAAAUUAAUCCGUAAACCUAAAAAAAAAUUUCUCGACAAUUCAAACCAUAUCCAAACGAUAUCUGCAGAAAAUCGACGCGAUCAAUACUUACGUCGAUUUAAAACUUGAACGUUUGAAGACUUCAACUCGGAAAAUAACAAUUAUUAUUAUCUCUGUAUUGUAUACAACAUGUAAACAACAUGA